UUUAUAAUUUAUUGAUUUAUUUGUUCUUGCAGUGAGAAAAGACCCUAGAAAAUAUGCCAGAGUAAAAGAUCUUCUAACAAUGAAUGAAGAACUUAAGAAAGCAAGAAAAGCUUUUGACGAGGUUAAAUACGCAGAAUAACGUCAUUGAGUCCCACACCUUGGUAAGAAGAACCGCACAGUCCCAGGGGAAUAUGACGCGCGGAAAUGUAAUUGUGGAUGCGUUUUAUACGUUGGGUAUGACCCACGACAUGCUGUGGAAUACAGUCCUUCAAAACGGCAACGUUAUGUGCGACUGGUUCCUCUUCGAUAUGUAAGAUCUUUUUUGUAUGAUCAAGCGCCGUUGUUAAUAGAUGUUCCUCAGAUGGAUUCGGGCCGAAAUAUUUUUCGAACCAAGCACCGCCCAUCAUAACUGUCAGCACCUAAACCGUUGUCGCAAAAUUCCUAUAUAUAUAAAAUGUUGGACACGAUGAUGUAUAAUUUAAUAUUCUCAAUUUUGUAUAUAUAAAAAUAAAAAUUAUAGAAGAAACUGCGUGUGUGGAAAUUGGAUUGCUAUACAUGAAUCAAAUAAAGAUCUAAAAAUCUAAA